AUGUGCGUGGUGCUGCUUUGGUA
rnacentral:piRNA from 1 species